rnacentral:rRNA from 1 species
GAUGAACGCUGGCGGCGUGCCUAAUACAUGCAAGUCGAGCGAACAGACGAGGAGCUUGCUCCUCUGACGUUAGCGGCGGACGGGUGAGUAACACGUGGAUAACCUACCUAUAAGACUGGGAUAACUUCGGGAAACCGGAGCUAAUACCGGAUAAUAUAUUGAACCGCAUGGUUCAAUAGUGAAAGACGGUUUUGCUGUCUCUUAUAGAUGGAUCCGCGCCGCAUUAGCUAGUUGGUAAGGUAACGGCUUACCAAGGCGACGAUGCGUAGCCGACCUGAGAGGGUGAUCGGCCACACUGGAACUGAGACACGGUCCAGACUCCUACGGGAGGCAGCAGUAGGGAAUCUUCCGCAAUGGGCGAAAGCCUGACGGAGCAACGCCGCGUGAGUGAUGAAGGUCUUCGGAUCGUAAAACUCUGUUAUUAGGGAAGAACAAAUGUGUAAGUAACUAUGCACGUCUUGACGGUACCUAAUCAGAAAGCCCCGGCUAACUACGUG